CCUACGGGCGGCAGCAGUGGGGAAUAUUGGACAAUGGGGGCAACCCUGAUCCAGCCAUGCCGCGUGUGUGAAGAAGGCCCUCGGGUUGUAAAGCACUUUCAGUGAGGAAGAACGCCUGGUGGUUAAUACCCAUCAGGAAAGACAUCACUCACAGAAGAAGCACCGGCUAACUCCGUGCCAGCAGCCGCGGUAAUACGGAGGGUGCGAGCGUUAAUCGGAAUUACUGGGCGUAAAGCGCGCGUAGGUGGCUUGAUAAGCCGGUUGUGAAAGCCCCGGGCUCAACCUGGGAACGGCAUCCGGAACUGUCAAGCUAGAGUGCAGGAGAGGAAGGUAGAAUUCCCGGUGUAGCGGUGAAAUGCGUAGUGAUCGGGAGGAAUACCAGUGGCGAAGGCGGCCUUCUGGACUGACACUGACACUGAGGUGCGAAAGCGUGGGUAGCAAACAGGAUUAGAUACCCUGGUAGUC
rnacentral:rRNA from 1 species